AUGGAUCUUGGGCGUCUUAACUAUGGUAUCGUGACCCUCAUCCCCAAGGUCCCGGGCGCCUCCGACAUCCGCCAGUUUCGUCCAAUCACAGUGAUUAAUGUGAUAUUCCGGAUCCUGGCCAAAGGGUACGCCAAUAGGGUGACCCUACUCGCUGACGUGAUUACCCAUCCGAACCAAUCCUCCUUCAUACAAGGCCGAUUUAUUCUGGAUGGGGUGCUGGUAUUCCACGAAGUCUUCCACGAGGUCCGGAUGAAACACCAUCGGGCGGUCUUUCUGAAGCUAGACUUCCACAAAGCGUACGACACGGUCCACUGGCCCUUUUUGCGGGAAGUGUUG
rnacentral:rRNA from 1 species